GACGAACGCUGGCGGCGUGCUUAACACAUGCAAGUCGAGCGGAGCGGCGAACGGGUGAGUAACGCGUGAGUAACUGCCCCCCUCCUUGGGACAACAGUUGGAAACGGCUGCUAAUACCGGAUAGUGGGGGAUGUCUCGCGUCCGAUCAGCUUGUUGGGGGGGUAGUGGCCUACUAAGGCGACGACGGGUAGCCGGCCUGAGGGGGCGACCGGCCACAGUGGGCUGAGAUACGGCCCAGACUGCUACGGGAGGCAGCAGUGGGGGAUAUUGCACGAGGGGCGCAAGCCUGAUGCGGCGACGCCGCGUGAGGGAGGAAGGCUUUCGGGUUGUAAACCUCUUUCGGUACAGAACGGGUAUGUGCAGAAGAAGCGCCGGCUAACGACGUGCCAGCAGCCGCGGUAAUAC
rnacentral:rRNA from 1 species